CCUACGGGAGGCAGCAGUGAGGAAUAUUGGACAAUGGACGCGAGCCUGAACCAGCCAAGUCGCGUGAAGGAUGACUGCCCUACGGGUUGUAAACUUCUUUUAUAAGGGGAUAAAGUGAGACACGUGUGCCUUUUUGUAUGUACUUUACGAAUAAGGAUCGGCUAACUCCGUGCCAGCAGCCGCGGUAAUACGGAGGAUCCGAGCGUUAUCCGGAUUUAUUGGGUUUAAAGGGAGCGUAGAUGGGUUGUUAAGUCAGUUGUGAAAGUUUGAGGCUCAACCUUAAAAUUGCAAUUGAUACUGGCCGCCUAGAGUGUAGUUGCGGUAGGCGGAAUGUGUGGUGUAGCGGUGAAAUGCUUAGAGAUCACGAAGAACUCCGAUUGCGAAGGCAGCUUACUAAACUGCCACUGACAUUGAUGCUCGAAAGUGUGGGGAUCAAACAGGAUUAGAUACCCUAGUAGUC
rnacentral:rRNA from 1 species